rnacentral:misc_RNA from 1 species
UUAUCUAUAAUGAUCAGGUAA